CUAGCGGCAGGCCUAACACAUGCAAGUCGAGGGGUAACAGGGAGCUUGCUCCGCUGACGACCGGCGCACGGGUGCGCAACGCGUAUGCAAUCUACCUCUUACUAAGGGAUAGCCCAGAGAAAUUUGGAUUAAUAUCUUAUGUGAUAUGUGACUGGCAUCGGUUGCAUAUUAAAGGUUACGGUAAGAGAUGAGCAUGCGUCUCAUUAGUUAGUUGGUAAGGUAACGGCUUACCAAGACUUCGAUGAGUAGGGGUCCUGAGAGGGAGAUCCCCCACACUGGUACUGAGACACGGACCAGACUCCUACGGGAGGCAGCAGUGAGGAAUAUUGGACAAUGGACGGAAGUCUGAUCCAGCCAUGCCGCGUGUAGGAAGACUGCCCUAUGGGUUGUAAACUACUUUUAUACAGGAAGAAUAAGAUCUACGUGUAGAUUGAUGACGGUACUGUAAGAAUAAGGACCGGCUAACUCCGUGCCAGCAGCCGCGGUAAUACGGAGGGUCCGAGCGUUAUCCGGAAUUAUUGGGUUUAAAGGGUCCGUAGGCGGGCUGUUAAGUCAGAGGUGAAAUGCUGCGGCUCAACCGUAUGCACUGCCUUUGAUACUGGCGGUCUUGAGUUAUAGUGAAGUGGCUAGAAUAAGUAGUGUAGCGGUGAAAUGCAUAGAUAUUACUUAGAAUACCGAUUGCGAAGGCAGGUCACUAACUAUACACUGACGCUGAUGGACGAAAGCGUGGGUAGCGAACAGGAUUAGAUACCCUGGUAGUCCACGCCGUAAACGAUGGAUACUAGCUGUUCGGUUUUCGGACUGAGCGGCCAAGCGAAAGU
rnacentral:rRNA from 1 species